ACUCUGACAGUUGACCGAGUCAACGUUGACCGUUGACCAAGUCAACAGUCAAGGUCAACUGGUCAAAUGUCAAAGUCAAAUUUGGGCUUAGAUUGGGUUGGGCUAAAAAGGCCUUAGGGGUUUUGGGUUUUAAACUAAGGGUUAAUGGGUUUGGAAACUCAUAUUGGCCCAAGGCCUAAUCUGCUUGGUUCUAUACACACACACACACGGGCCUAAUGCCCUAAAUAGAAAAUGGCCCAAGGCCUUAUUUCUAUAACAGAAACUAAAAAGGUUUUUAGGUUGGGCUAGAGGGCUACGGGCCCUAAUCCUAAUGGCCCGAAGGCCUUUUAGGUCCUAAACUAAUUAAUUAAAAACAAAAGAAAAACAAAUGGGUUAGGGGGAUUGGGCUAGGCUCACCACACGGGCCUAAGGCCCGCUUGACUCAGAAACGGCUUGGAGGGCCUGGUUUCGUCGGAGAACAACGGAGCUUCAACAGCUCCGGCCGACCACCACACGCAACCCUAGACCUCGAUCUAGGUAUCAAAACGAAGAGCAAGACAAAGGGAGUAACUAUAUACCUUCCUUUCGUCGUGGAACGGCCGGAGAUGGCCGGAAUCUCCCCUUACACCCUCAGGAUCGCCGGAGAUGGGUGUGCCUACACCCGAGGUGAUUUCGUUCUAAAAACCUCCAAAAACACACAUAAAACUCAAUUAAAAAACCCAACCCACAAGAUUCUAGGAUGAAAUAGGGAAUAUUUGAGGCUUACCUAACCGGGAAAUAGGAAAUCUCGCCAGAAUUCCUUUUCCGGUUUUCUGGGUUUGCAGCACGGGAAAGAGGAAAAAGAAGGAUGAGAUUGAUGGUGAUGAUGGUCUUCCUCGCACAGGGGAAAUGGUGUGCGUGUGUGUGCUUGCGGUGGAGAGAAGAGAGAUAUGAGAGAGAGCCGAGAGGGAAAGAGACAGGACAGACAGAAACGAAGAAGAAGAAGGAAUGGGGGUUCACCGGGGGGGGACAGAGGGAGAAGUGAGGUGAGUGAAGGGGGUGCUGCCAC
rnacentral:lncRNA from 1 species